CGGUCCCGUAGCUCAGCUGGAUAGAGCAGCUGCCUUCUAAGCAGCGGGUCGGGGGUUCGACUCCUCCCGGGAUCGCCA
rnacentral:tRNA from 1 species